AUUUUCCCUCCACUCUGCCUGCCUUCUUCACUCACAGACUCCCAAUCCCCUCACUCUCUCACUAUUUCUUCUCUCUCUAGGGUCUCUCUCUAUGGCGUCGACCACUGGGGUUUUCGGAAACCGCUGCAGAGCACUCAUGGCAGCCGCUAAGAGCUCCGUCGCCUCCACCACUUCUGGAUCCGCCGCUGCCAAAACUUCUGGCCGCAGAAAUGGCAUCCUGAAAAAGCAGCCUGUCUCCCCUACUCUCCGCCAGUUCGUCGGCGCACCUUGCAAAGACGGGUCAGGGUCGGGCCUUCAUUCCAACCCCACCCCUUGGCCUAUUUGGCAUCGGAAUCGCAGCCGUUAUAACUCACUCACGCGUCCGCUCCCCAUUGAGAAUCUCAGAGCCAGAGACCAGGGCAGAGACUCCAUUCAAUAAGAAAAAAUUGAUGGAUGUCACACAACGACUUGAAAAAGCUAGCCCUUUUCGGUUGCCCUUCUCUUGGCAAGAAGAUUGUCUUUUCCUCUAAAGAUUGCGUAGAUUCUUGAAAAUUCAAGAGAACACUUCCAGCUUCAUAUUGAUCAUGAGAAGACUAUUGGAUAUGCUGAUAGAGAUGAUUGAAAUCUGACAUUGGUGCUGUAAUCUAUGCUUUAGUUUAGAAAUCUAGUACUCUCUCUUGGGAAGUAUAUGUAUUGGUUAUUAUUAUUUGAACUGAUUAUGUGGGAUUUGGGCCCCAACAUUUGUGAUUCACUUUUAUUUUGAUUAAUUUAAAGAUGUGUUAUGAUCAUAUAUAUGAAUUUG